AUUGAACGCUGGCGGCAUGCCUUACACAUGCAAGUCGAACGGCAGCGGGGACUUCGGUCCGCCGGCGAGUGGCGAACGGGUGAGUAAAGUAUCGGAACGUAAAUUUCAGUGGGGGAUAACGUAGCGAAAGUUACGCUAAUACCGCAUAUUCUGUGAGCAGGAAAGCAGGGGAUCGCAAGACCUUGCGCUGAUUAAGCGACCGAUAUCAGAUUAGGUAGUUGGUGCGGUAAAGGCUCACCAAGGCGACGAUCUGUAGCGGGUCUGAGAGGAUGAUCCGCCACACUGGAACUGAGACACGGUCAAGACUCCUACGGGAGGCAGCAGUGGGGAAUUUUGGACAAUGGGGGCAACCCUGAUCCCGCCCUGCCGCGUGAGUGAAGAAGGCCUUCGGGUUGUAAAGCUCUUUCGGCCGGGAGGAAAUCGCACAGGCUAAUACCCUGUGUGGAUGACAGUACCGGAAUAAGUAGCACCGGCUAACUACGUGCCAGCAGCCGCGGUAA
rnacentral:rRNA from 1 species